AGAUACCCCGUUAUUCUGGGUGUAAGAGGGUAAUAUCCCAAAGAGAAACCCUUAUCCUAUGGCGGCCCCCUUUCUUUUCAGAGGAACUUGUUUAUUAAUCGAUAAUCCCCGCUAACUUUUACUGCUUUUUCUAUUUCAAGUUUCUAUACCGCCGUCUAAAAGAAAAAAAUAAGAUCAUUUUUCUUUCAAACCAUAGCUUCCAAGUCAGGUCAAGGUGGAGCUCACAAAACAGGGUCAAAUGAGUUACACAUAUUAGCUAACAUUGAAAUAAAAAUGAAAAUUAAUAGGAAACAGGAUUUGAAAGUAAUUUUGUUUUAAAAUGACAAUAUGGUUAUGUAAA
rnacentral:rRNA from 1 species